CAGAACUUCGGGACCUGACAGUUCUGGCCUCCUUUUCAUCUCUGACAGAAAAGGAGAUGACAGAAAUACCUAUGAUCUGCUGUCCUGAAACUUCCCUGCAAAUAGAAUAUAAGUUGACAGUACAUGUCUUUUCCCACCUGUUUCUGCCCGCCAUGGGCCAUGCUCCAUGGCUCCUGAUUCUCACACUUGCUGUGUGCAGAAGUGCUGGACCUGGGAUGUCCUCCCUACCUGACCUGUCUUCGCAUGGCCCCUCUGGAACGCAGCACUGUGGACCUGAAGAACUGUGCAGCUGGAGAGAUUCUAGAGCUGAAAGCAUUUUGUGA
rnacentral:lncRNA from 1 species